AAAGAUUGCUGAGCUUCACUCAGCCCACGGUCCACUUCUUUACAUCAACACAUGUUACUAUAACAUUCUAGUCCACAAGAGAGUGGGCGUUCUUUUAGAGUUCAUGUAUUUGAGGCAGCAGAUGAGGUAACCUACACAGAAUUGUACCUACCAAAUUUAAAGAGCAAAAACUCAAAGAAGAAAACUUCCUGAUGUAGGCUAUAAGGUUAAAAUAAUGCUCCUUUAUGGUUCUACUGGGAAAAGUAAACUUUUCAGUAAGAAAUCAACAGAGCCUGAGGAAAUGCAUUCAGCAGCUAGCUUCUCCAUUAAAUUCACCUUCUAUAUUUCUCAUUUUCCAUUAGCUGCUUACCUCACCCACAUCACAACUCAGAUAUGGAAUUAGAUCUCAGAGCAUGUGGCAAGAAUAAGGUGGGGAGGCAAGAGUAAUGCACCUUCAAAACGUCCAUGAAAAAUUCUCAGCUCCUCAGAUGACUUAAUUACUAUACUGAGCAAUUCCUGCCUGGUUACAAUGGUGUAUUUUAGAAAUUUUAGAUUUUGAAGAAUUGCCUAAACAUGAUAUCAAACUCAAUACUUCAGGAACUCAUUCUGACAAAAGAAAAAAAUAAAACCAAGACACAGAUAAAUUAAAUACUCUGUAUUAAAGUUCCCAAAUUCCAGAAAGGAAAUAUUAGUGUCUGAAAUACCUUUUCUGGUUAUGGUAUAUGUCCUUUAUGACAAGAUACUUAACAGAAGUGUUAUAGUGGCUGUGUGAAAUGUCCUAGGGAGAAUAACUUAGUAGUGCUGUUACCUUGAUAGAUAAAAGCCACAGCAAUCAAAUGAGAUUUUUGCUUAAAAAUAAUAUCUACUUACAAAAGACUAUUUUCUAAGUUAUGCAAAUGUUACUUGCUUUUUUUCCCCCCAGUAACCAACUAAAGCAAAGGCUGUACUUGAUAGCCAAGAACAAAACUGGCAUUUUCCCCCUGUUAAUCAAUGUCAACCCUACAAUCUUUCAGCACUGAGAACUAACAUACCUUCAUUUGUGUAAGCAGCACAUACAGAAAUAACCAAAGCAGAACUGAAGCAUGGGUAUUGCCAAGAAUUGGGGAAAAAGUUAGAAAGCAAAGAUGGGACGUGAGUCUUUGUUUUGCCUACCAAAAGAAAGGAGUCCUACUUCUUGGGUGGCAGUUGCUGUAGCAACCAAACCACUGCUAAAGGAGAUUCAGAGCAUUAAGACGGAGGUUGUGGAGAAGGGCAGAAGCCUGGGGGACUGAGCUCUGUAGCGGGACACUAGGAGCAGUGGUGGUCCCCCAACCCCCACCUGAUGAUGUUGAACAUCUGCUCAAAUUAGAGCUUGCGUCUUGACUAACGUCUGGCAAGAACCAUAAACUCCCAAGCCAAGUAUCAGAAAAGAGCUAAGUGGGGUGUGAGCAAGCCGUCUCACCGCAGAGACUUUAAAUGCUUCACUGAAAGGAAAUGCAGAGGCAACAGGGAAGCUGUGCCGUCUCGAAAGAAAUUUAGAUUUGUGCACAACUUGAAAAGGACAAAAUGAAAGUGUCCAGGGAUCAGUGUAACAGUGGUACAUCCAUGGUACCGUAUAUAGGGUAGCACACCUGGAUCCUGUUUUAUAGUAGGGGCUUAAAGUGAGAAUAUGUUUAAAAAACAAGAACCAAAACUGGCCUUGACUUUUGGCCCAGCACUCACAGGAAACAGCAAAGAAAAAGAAGAAAACUUUGCAAAUGCAAUUAAUUAACAAAGUCAUAUGUUUUAUUUCAAGAGUGAUCUUAGUAUUCCUAAGUUAAAUACAGCAUUAGAAGACCAGACCUAAGACCUUACCCAAACACACUAAAAUAAAACAUAAUAAACUGUGAGAGAAGUAUCUGCCCACUCUAUCCGCGAGCUUGGAGCAAAUGAGUUAGAAAAGUCAAAGCUGGAAGGUGGAGGAGAGAUCAAUGAUUUUAGCAACACUCACCCACUGUUGCUGACAAGUCAAAAGCUCAUAAGCCACAGAAGAUGGUGUUGCUUUGUUUUCAUGGUGGAAAACACAGCUCGAAGCUUGAAUUUGGUAAUGCAUACUACAGAAAAGCAGUGAAUGUAUGGACUGCAGAAGCUACAUAGCUCCUCAUUCUUCACUCUAUUUUCAUAAGCAAGAUGCAAAUGAUAAAGCAGCAAGCUGACAUUCAAGAAAGCAUGUUUCAGGGCAUAUCUUCCUGAGGUUGGUAUGCUUUCAUGCUGGCAGCUCAUAAUUUCUAGAAACACAGCAAAUCACCAUGAUUUGUGAUCAUUAAGCAACAGUUAGAUCGUGUUCCAAUUCCUCCAUUUGUGGGGCAGAAAAAUCGUGUCAUAUUUCAGAAAAAAAGAUGCCCAAAUAAAAGGUCAAAAUAAAAUUGGGUGCUUAAAAAUAUGAGUUAUUUAGCUGUCUCUGUAUUUAGCUGUCUCUGAAGUACAAAUAACCAGAAAAAUCAGGCCUUUUACUUGUGUAUUUUAUUAUAUUAUGAAUUCUUGUGUAGGCUUUGUAACGUUUAUAACAUAUUGGUACAGUGGUAUAGGCAUAAAAUCUACCUAUAAAUAAAGGUAUGCAUAUUAGCGGAGUUUGCUCUCACAAAGUUCCUUGAGCAAAAACUUAAAGCCCUAAUCUAGAAAACUAAGUUGUCCAGAUACCUUCUUCUCCCAC
rnacentral:lncRNA from 1 species